CGGUAGAGAGGAGCUUGCUCCUCUUGAGAGCGGCGGACGGGUGAGUAAUGCCUAGGAAUCUGCCUGGUAGUGGGGGAUAACGUUCGGAAACGGACGCUAAUACCGCAUACGUCCUACGGGAGAAAGCAGGGGACCUUCGGGCCUUGCGCUAUCAGAUGAGCCUAGGUCGGAUUAGCUAGUCGGUGAGGUAAUGGCUCACCAAGGCGACGAUCCGUAACUGGUCUGAGAGGAUGAUCAGUCACACUGGAACUGAGACACGGUCCAGACUCCUACGGGAGGCAGCAGUGGGGAAUAUUGGACAAUGGGCGAAAGCCUGAUCCAGCAAUGCCGCGUGAGUGAAGAAGGCCUUCGGGUUGUAAAGCUCUUUUGUCAGGGAAGAAACGGUGAGAGCUAAUAUCUCUUGCUAAUGACGGUACCUGAAGAAUAAGCACCGGCUAACUACGUGCCAGCAGCCGCGGUAAU
rnacentral:rRNA from 1 species